rnacentral:lncRNA from 1 species
CACAUCCUCAGGACUCGUGCGGGGUCCCUGGCUCUCACCCCGCGGGUACCUGCUCGAGCUGCGGGGCUACCUCCAGCACGGCCGCCGCUUUGAGCUCCGCCAUGAUCGUCGCCGCGUCGGAUCCCCGCCGGGAGAGUGUAGCAGAGUCCGCGUUGGAGCCGAGCUGACAGUGGCCGGGCGGGUGGCCUGGCUGUGGCUGCAGUGGUACCUCCUCCGGAGCCCAGGUCACCAUGCACUGCGCACCUCCCUAGCGUAGUGAGGGACUCCUCAGUGUGGCAUGGGCACGUUCUGCGGGUCCUCCUACAUGAUGAAAGGUCCUGCGUCCCACCACGCCCUGUACUCUCUGCUGGAACCAGAGGUGACUGGGCUGGAGGAGGGUCCGGAACAGCAUCCUCUCUCUGUAUCCUGGCUUCCAGUGGAUGUUCUACAAAUCAUAGCGAACUUAAGUAUGGAAGGACUUACCACAUUCACAAUGGCUGCUCUUCUCUAAGAAUCUCCAGCAAUACACAGCAGGACUGUGAGGCACAGUUCAGAGUCCCAUUGAUAUGUAACUGAAUUGCUGAGAUGGACCAAUGAGAGCCUUCGAAGUCUCUGCUGUCUGCAGGAGCAGUGGCCACGAAUCUGGCUGAAAUGUGGGGUACAUGCUAAUGUAUGGGGAGACCAGUCUUAAACCACUGGAGUAGCUGGUAACUUCAACCUGCUGUGGGGAGGACUGGGCCUCCUGAGAAGGAAAUGACAGAGCUCCCUCCAAGGUCGUUGGUCAAAGGAGACAUGACAGAAGACAAAGAAUAGGUACAACAAGAUGUAAAGUUUAUAUACAAAGAAUAUAAUGUUUAUCUGAAAUAUUUACAGUGUCGGUUAAAGCAAUAUUUUUACAACUUUUCCAGGUCAACUACUACGUAUAUUACAGGGCAUCAUGCAAUGAGGAAUGGUUACUGUGUGCUUAUAAACUGAAGUUCUGUAGCUGGGAUGGGAACGCAUGCAAUGGUCAGAGCUCAUGAGGGCAUAAAACGAGCAACGAAAUGUUUGAAGACUUAGAUGCCGAUUCUCAGGCUGGAACUGAGGAAGACUUUGAGAUAACAGCCAGCUUUAUCUCAACUAAGUCUGGGACCCACAAGCUUAGACCACAGAGG